rnacentral:rRNA from 1 species
CAAUAGCGUAUAUUAAAGUUGUUGCAGUUAAAAAGCUCGUAGUUGAAUUUCUGUACAUUCCCGGUGCCGGCUCUUGUCGAACCGUGGAGUGUGCAUCCGCUUACAAACUUAGCCCGGCCUUCAUUGGUCGACUAAGGGAGUAGGCCCUUUACUUUGAAAAAAUUAGAGUGUUUCAAGCAGGCAAUGGCUCGAAUACAUUAGCAUGGAAUAAUGGAAUAGGACUAGCGUCCAUUUGGUUGGUUAUUGGACAUUAGUAAUGAUUAACAGGGACAGUUGGGGGCAUUAGUACUUAACAGUCAGUGGUGAAAUACUUGGAUUUGUUAAAGACUAACUUAUGCGAAAGCAUUUGCCAAGGAUGUUUUCAUUAA